UACAGAGGCCUCGAGCGUUAGGCGGAAUCACUGGGCUUAAAGCGUGUGUAGGCGGACCCCUAAGUACCUUGUGAAAUCCCACGGCUCACCCGUGGAACGGGCUGGGUAUACUGGGGGGUCUUGAGCCACCUAGGGGCGAGUGGAACAAAUGGUGGAGCGGUGAAAUGCGUAGAUAUCAUUUGGAACGCCAAUGGUGAAAACAACUCGCUGGGGGUGUGCUGACGCUGAGACACGAAAGCCAGGGGAGGCGAACGGG
rnacentral:rRNA from 1 species